CCUACGGGGGCAGCAGUGGGGAAUAUUGGACAAUGGGCGAAAGCCUGAUCCAGCCAUGCCGCGUGUGUGAUGAAGGCCUUCGGGUUGUAAAGCACUUUCAGUGGGGAAGAAAGCCUUGGGGCUAAUACCCUCGAGGAAGGACAUCACCCACAGAAGAAGCACCGGCUAACUCCGUGCCAGCAGCCGCGGUAAUACGGAGGGUGCGAGCGUUAAUCGGAAUUACUGGGCGUAAAGCGCGCGUAGGCGGUCUGAUAAGCCGGUUGUGAAAGCCCCGGGCUCAACCUGGGAACGGCAUCCGGAACUGUCAGGCUAGAGUGCAGGAGAGGAAGGUAGAAUUCCCGGUGUAGCGGUGAAAUGCGUAGAGAUCGGGAGGAAUACCAGUGGCGAAGGCGGCCUUCUGGACUGACACUGACGCUGAGGUGCGAAAGCGUGGGUAGCAAACAGGAUUAGAUACCCGGGUAGUC
rnacentral:rRNA from 1 species